GUGAGGAAUAUUGGGCAAUGGGCGAAAGCCUGACCCAGCAACGCCGCGUGAAGGAAGAAGGCCCUCGGGUUGUAAACUUCUUUUAAGAGGGACGAAAGAAAUGACGGUACCUCUUGAAUAAGCCACGACUAACUACGUGCCAGCAGCCGCGGUAAUACGUAGGUGGCGAGCGUUAUCCGGAUUUACUGGGUGUAAAGGGCGUGUAGGCGGGAGUGCAAGUCAGAUGUGAAAAUUAUGGGCUCAACCCAUAACCUGCAUUUGAAACUGUUCUUCUUGAGUGAUGGAGAGGCAGGCGGAAUUCCGUGUGUAGCGGUGAAAUGCGUAGAUAUACGGAGGAACACCAGUGGCGAAGGCGGCCUGCUGGACAUUAACUGACGCUGAGGCGCGAAAGCGUGGGGAGCAAACAGGAUUAGAAACCCGGGUAGUCC
rnacentral:rRNA from 1 species